UUCUCAAAAACCAAAAGGCCGAUCGAGGAACGGAUUACUUAUUUCUUAAACGCCGGUCGAGUAGAGCGCACAAAAAAAUUACGGUCCAAAUCGCAGACAAAAAAUUUUUUUCAUAAUCAUCCCUUGGUCCCCCCUUCCUAUUUUAAAAAAAAAACUUUUUUAUUUACCGUCCGAUUUUCAAAAUUCGACCGGCGUUGGAUAGAUCUCGUCGAAAAAGCAAAAAUCCAAUCAUAAAACGUUCGGGGUCAUAUAUAAACGAGGGCGCUAGAGGGCGAUUUAGGGGAUGACAAAAAAAAUUAAAAAUUGACGAAAUUUGGCACACACGUUUGUACGGACCUUAGAAAGUCUCCGGUACAACUUUUACCCCUUUACGACCAAAGGGAAGGGUAAUAGGGGGUGAUAAUAGGUUAGAGGUUAGGUUAGAGGUUAGGUUAGAGGUUAGGUUAGAGGUUAGGUUAGAGGUUAGGUUAGGUUAGGUUAGAGGUUAGGUAGCAUUGAAAGCAUGCUGCGAAAUAAAAUUACUAUCUGAUUAGGAGAAUACAAAUUCACUACUAAACUUGGAUUUAUUCUCAGUAGCCGGCUAACAUUCAACGUGAGGGUCGUAAAGUUCGGUAUUCUGCCAGGAAAACUUGCUACUACAAAACUCAAAUCUUAAGGGCGCCAGAUCUAGCGAGGUAAUAAAUCCUCUUGAUCAAGGAGGAUAGGCUCUUCCAAGCAUAGCAUAAUGAAGGUGAAAAAAACUAGGUAUUGUGGCAGAGAGGAAUUUAAUACGUCUGUAUUUCGAUUUAAAAUUAAAUAUGAUUAGUGUGUAACUACAAAUUAUAAUUGUGGUGUGAAGCACGGUAACAAUAAUAAGAAAAAAAACUAAUAGGAUUAAUUCGUCCACACCGCAAAUAAUCAACAGUGUCAACAAUAUCUUACUACGGUAAUUAAUACAGGUUCUGGAUUCGCUAGCUAGCCCCGCACCCUGUUUAUAUUUGGGCCAAAUAGAGGUUCGUACAAAUAGACCUCCCAAACUGAGAACAAAACGAAUUUUCCUUCACAGUUUACAUAGCCCUUGAAGAGGGUUCAUCAACUCAAAGCCACAAAAAUUAACAAACGCAGAUGCAGCAAGGUAAGGUACCAGUAAGUGCCAGAUUUUAGGCAGCGGAACAAAAAAAGCUGAAAGUUAUGAGAUACUCUAUAUCUAGCUUAAGAGAUACCUAAUUCUUACCUAGAUGUUAUAGCUUGCAACUCGUCCGCAAUGUUCUAAACUACAAAUUACAAAGUUUUAAUACUACA